CGUAGGUGGCAAGCGUUGUCCGGAAUUAUUGGGCGUAAAGCGCGCGCAGGCGGUCCUUUAAGUCUGAUGUGAAAGCCCACGGCUCAACCGUGGAGGGUCAUUGGAAACUGGGGGACUUGAGUACAGAAGAGAAGAGUGGAAUUCCACGUGUAGCGGUGAAAUGCGUAGAGAUGUGGAGGAACACCAGUGGCGAAGGCGACUCUUUGGUCUGUAACUGACGCUGAGGCGCGAAAGCGUGGGGAGCAAACAGGAUUAGAUACCCUGGUAGUCCACGCCGUAAACGAUGAGUGCUAAGUGUUAGAGGGUUUCCGCCCUUUUAGUGCUGCAGCAAACGCAUUAAGCACUCCGCCUGGGGAGUACGGCCGCAAGGCUG
rnacentral:rRNA from 1 species